rnacentral:rRNA from 1 species
CCUACGGGAGGCAGCAGUGAGGAAUAUUGGUCAAUGGGCGCGAGCCUGAACCAGCCAAGUAGCGUGAAGGAUGACUGCCCUACGGGUUGUAAACUUCUUUUAUAAAGGAAUAAAGUGAGGCACGUGUGCCUUUUUGUAUGGACUUUAUGAAUAAGGAUCGGCUAACUCCGUGCCAUCAGCCGCGGUAAUACGGAGGAUCCGAGCGUUAGCCGGAUUUAUUGGGUUUAAAGGGAGCGUAAAUGGGUUGUUAAGUCAGUUGUGAAAGUUUGCGGCUCAACCGUAAAAUUGCAAUUGAUACUGGCAGUCUUGAGUACAGUGGAGGUAGGCGGAAUUCGUGGUGUAGCGGUGAAAUGCUUAGAUAUCACGAAGAACUCCGAUUGCGAAGGCAGCUUACUAAACUGCCACUGACAUUGAUGCUCGAAAGUGUGGGUAUCAAACAGGAUUAGAUACCCUUGUAGUC